AGCGAACGCUGGCGGCAGGCCUAACACAUGCAAGUCGAACGAAGUCUUCGGACUUAGUGGCGGACGGGUGAGUAACACGGUGGAACGUGCCUGUAGGUUCGGAAUAACUCAUGGAAACGUGUGCUAAUACCGAAUGUGCCCUUCGGGGGAAAGAUUUAUCGCGUUUACAGCGGCCCGCGUCUGAUUAGCUAGUUGGUGAGGUAAAGGCUCACCAAGGCUACGAUCAGUAGCUGGUCUGAGAGGAUGACCAGCCACAUUGGAACUGAGACACGGCCCAAACUCCUACGGGAGGCAGCAGUGGGGAAUCUUGCGCAAUGGGCGAAAGCCUGACGCAGCCAUGCCGUGUGGAUGAUGAAGGUCUUAGGAUUGUAAAAUCCUUUCACCGGUGAAGAUAAUGACUGUAGCCGGAGAAGAAGCCCCGGCUAACUUCGUGCCAGCCGCCGCCGUAACAC
rnacentral:rRNA from 1 species